rnacentral:rRNA from 1 species
AUGGGCGGCGGCGCAGCCGGAUCUGGGCUCAGGCGUGAGCUUGGUCUCCAGGUCAUGGUCGGCGCAAUGGCGAGUGCGACACGUCGGCAUCUUUGUCUGGUCCUUGACAACCCGGGCAACUCCAGGGGAAACCAUAGAUCUCCAUGGGAUCGAGCGAUGGCGGUGCUCUUGUGCCGUAGUCCCUCUUCAGGGCAUCGUUUUGGAGUUUGCUACGGUCGAAGGAACCAGCGAGGCCGGCGCCGUACGCCCGGUGGCGCAACUGCCGUUGAAAAUCGCGCCGACUACGGUCAUGGCGGACGAUGGCGGCGUCUUUGA